rnacentral:rRNA from 1 species
GUUCUUUGGGGAGAGCUGCCUGUACCUGUGAAUGAAAAGCCUUAAUCUGCAAGAAUUAAUAUGAAUUUCAGGACACAUUGAUCAUCAACACUUCGAAUGCACUUGCGGCCCCGGGUUCCUCCUGGGGCUACGCCUGUCUGAGCAUUG